AGGGAAUGGAUUUAAGGACACACAGCAGGAGCUGGCUGGAUUCAUUUUAUUUUGGGGGUAGUUGGGGGAGGAAUAUCAUUUCUGAAAUGCCCAAGGAAUGAAGGGAGAGGAUAUGGAUUUCUUAAACAGUUUUUGCAAGAGGAGCGGUGUCUUGUUUUGCAGGUCCUGGCGAAGAGCACCUAAAACCCUGAGGAUUUCCUAAGUGAUAAGAGAGACAAAGGAAUUAAAUGUUGGAAGUCCUCUUGAUUAUCAAGACACACAAGUAACUCGGAAGAUCCAACAACAGGUCAUGUUUCACUUAGAUGUGAAGUAAGUUGCUUGAAAGAAAAACUUAAUCUUGCCAUGUGCACCUUCCAUAGCACUUACUUCGCUUUCAUAUGGAGAGAUUCCACUGUUGUCCUAAUAUCUUGCCCCAUCUGAAACAUACCUAGUGAUUGCUGUUUACUUGAAAGUUUGACCAGAUGCAGUGUCUAGUUGUUCAUGGAGAAAGACAAAGGUAAGGACUCUAUUAAGAAUA
rnacentral:lncRNA from 13 species